rnacentral:rRNA from 1 species
GACGAACGCUGGCGGCGUGCCUAAUACAUGCAAGUUGAGCGCUGAAGGUUGGUACUUGUACCGACUGGAUGAGCAGCGAACGGGUGAGUAACGCGUGGGGAAUCUGCCUUUGAGCGGGGGACAACAUUUGGAAACGAAUGCUAAUACCGCAUAAAAACUUUAAACACAAGUUUUAAGUUUGAAAGAUGCAAUUGCAUCACUCAAAGAUGAUCCCGCGUUGUAUUAGCUAGUUGGUGAGGUAAAGGCUCACCAAGGCGAUGAUACAUAGCCGACCUGAGAGGGUGAUCGGCCACAUUGGGACUGAGACACGGCCCAACCUCCUACGGGAGGCAGCAGUAGGGAAUCUUCGGCAAUAGACGAAAGUCUGACCGAGCAACGCCGCGUGAGUGAAGAAGGUUUUCGGAUCGUAAAACUCUGUUGGUAGAGAAGAACGUUGGUGAGAGUGGAAAGCUCAUCAAGUGACGGUAACUACCCAGAAAGGGACGGCUAACUACGUG